rnacentral:rRNA from 1 species
UACGUAUGGAGCAAGCGUUAUCCGGAUUUACUGGGCGUAAAGGGCGCGUAGGCGGCAAUUCAAGUCAGCUGUGAAAUCUCCGGGCUUAACUCGGAACGGUCAGCUGAUACUGCUUUGCUAGAGUGCAGAAGGGGCAAUCGGAAUUCUUGGUGUAGCGGUGAAAUGCGUAGAUAUCAAGAGGAACACCUGAGGUGAAGACGGGUUGCUGGGCUGACACUGACGCUGAGGAGCGAAAGCGUGGGGAGCGAACAGG